UAAAUUGGUGCUGCAUCUGUUGAAGACCCUGACAAAUCCCACCCCACUUGUCUCAGCUGUGGAAUGCUGUUCUUGGAUAUUCUCCCUAAAGUAUUUGUGAUAUGUGGAACUGUUGACACCAGUGAAGCAAAGAUGGUUUCUCUACUUCAUUGUUUGGUGAUCUUCAUAGGAAAACUCUAGACAUGGCUACUUACUGUUUCCUGUGUGCUAAGUUAAGUAUAUGUACUUAACUGUGGUGGCCGUUUAUCUAAAGCUCUGCCUGAAAGGACUUUGAGCCACACCAUCCACAUACCUAUGGAAAAAUUGACCUUGAUCUGCAGGAAAAAGAAGUGAGGAAAGCAGAAGCUCUUAUUGUAGUGGUCACAAGCAAAGAUAUGUGAAAAUAGAGGUAUGAACACAUCUGUUCCUAGAACUUGUAAGUAUCAAAGCAGCAUUACAGUUCUCAGUCAACAAAUUCAGACUGGAAAGCGAUAUAGAAUAAAGCUUUCAGGCUUAGAUACUAUCAGUCAUUCUUCUGUUUUUCACAGAUCAUUCACGCCAGCCUGGGACCAUAGCCUUACUCCAGUUACCAAGUAUUGCUAUUGGAACAGAAACAAAUAUUUGGAAAUAAAAUGUGAGAAUCAAGAGACUCAGUCUGCUGCGCUGUGCUCACUCAAGUCAAAGAGGAAGAAGCACAUGAAACUUCCUGUCUUGAAAUUGCCUAUGCUUCAUCCAAGGUAUUUUGAAUUACCUGACUUCCGAUGAUGUAUCUGGUUGUAACCUAAGAAAUAUUUUCUUCUGCUUUCAAAAAGGACACUAACCUUCAUACCUAAUGCUCAAAUUCCUGUUUUGCUAAAAUAGCUUAUCUUAUUAACCUAUGAUAGUUUCUUGGUAGGUAACAUAUCAAUAUUUUAGGGAAUUUCCAUUUCAUUCAUCUAUUCAUUUUGCAUGCCGUCCUCUCUUUUUCUUCCUCAUGUAACUGGAUCAAAUCAAUAUAUUUGGAACCUGAAAGGAAGCUGAUAUAAAUCUAGUGAAAUGUAUGAUCUGAAUACUUUCUAUAUUUCUGUAAAAAGCAUUUCGCAGCUUCCGUCUUCUUGCUCACCUUCAUUCGGUGCACUUCAUACAAUUACCUGCAUGUGUAUAUGCAUGCAAUAAGUAAUGGUUUCUCUUUGCCCUCUAGAGUUUAUUUGGCAUGCCCCAGGGCUUUGCGAGUGUCUGGGAGCUCCAUAAGCAAAGUAAUGCUAAGUGAAGGAGGAACCAAUGUUCACUGUCAGGCACAAAUGAUGUAGGAAUACAUGCUGUAUAAGAAUUUAUUAGUCUGAAGCUUUCUUGGGUUUUUUUUGGCCUUGAUAGACUAGUUAAGGUUCUGUACCUCUACCGUGCUAGAAAUCACCUUUUCUAUGAAUUGUCUCUGGGGUGGCGGGGGGGGGAAGAGUUGUAGGAAAUGCCUGUUUAAUUUCAUUUUACUCUCUCAUCCAGAGAUUGCUGUGCUCUCUGGACUAUUUCUGGUUUGUUUUUUCUGGUCUAGGGAUCACCUACUGUUUUAAUUAAUUAAUUAAGCUUGAACUGGGGUCCUAGAUCAUUUUGCAUCUAGAUGAAUGUCAAAGUAUCUUCAAGAAGAGUCAGGCUACUUUGUGUGUGGGUGUUUUCCUUCUGGGUGCAUGAGUUUCUGCUGUUUGCUGGAUCAUGGCAAAAUGUUGGCAGGAGGAUGGACAGGGCUGUACAAUUACCUUGCUCUGCCAGUGCAAACUCAGUCGUGAUGUAAUGAGCCCCGGAGCCAGGCCUUUGGUUCUCUGGCAUAUAUGCUAAUAACCGGGCUAUUAUUCCAGUAAGAUAAUAUUAUGAUUGAGGCAGAAGCACAGAUGGUGAUUUUUGGACUCUCAAUACAAAAUCUUUUGUGUGUGUGUUUGUGUCUCCCCUAUAGGAAAUAUAGAUGCCCAGAUUAGCACUGUGAUUUCAGGUCUUGGAAAAAGGCAUGUAAUUUUUAUAUGUUAUAAUAUUGAGCAUUAUAAAGUCCCUUUGGAUCCUGCCCUAAUUUUCUAAGUAAGGUCUUAUGUCAAGAAAAGUGUAAUCUUCCCUUUUUACUUUCUGUUUUGAGUACUUGAUACCAAUUAAACGAUGGCACUGGAGUGCAUGAAACAAAACUAUGUUAACUGGUCAUUAGGUGAGUAUAAGCUAACUGUAUUCUUAGAUCUGUUUUUAUUUAUCUCUGCUUCUUACUUCUGCACUAUCUUCAUUUACUCUUAUUCACAAAAUGAGGGUUUCUGUAUAUGGAGAUUUGUAAAAUAUUUUUUACAAAUACAUGGAUAUUAUUCCAUGUUGGUAAAUCUUAACUUAGUUGCAAAGUGAACAUGGUGCAGUAGUUUGUUCAUUGUGAAGGAAGGGUGAAGAAGCCUUAUCUCAUGCAAGUAAAAGUAUGUAUGUAUGUGUAUUAAGGAGGGUGGAAAAAGUUGGAUAAAAAUGAUUUAAUACUUUUUUUGGGGGGGUGGCUUGACAGUGAAGCCAAGGAAAGUCACAUUGUCAGCUCAUCACUCCCAACCCUGUGGUACUAUCUGAAGCAUUUCAUGUGUCAUUCAUUACAGCAGGCAGAGAAACACUAAAAUGUGGUUCACUUUAGCAGUGAGCUUCUUUAGGACUGUUUGGUUAAGUGACUUAAUGGCUUAUUCUUAAUGUUCUUUUCUUUUAUCUUGAGACCACAUAACUCAAAAUGACCAAAAAUAAUUCGAAUUCUUCUUGGCAGCAGGUCACCUGUGAAAUAUUUUCUGUCCAACUUUAUUACUUUUGAAUAAAAAAUGCCAA
rnacentral:lncRNA from 1 species